rnacentral:siRNA from 1 species
UACUACCACGGGUGAAAUCCUA